GACGAACGCUGGCGGCGUGCCUAAUACAUGCAAGUCGAGCGGACAGACGGGAGCUUGCUCCCUGAUGUUAGCGGCGGACGGGUGAGUAACACGUGGGUAACCUGCCUGUAAGACUGGGAUAACUCCGGGAAACCGGGGCUAAUACCGGAUGGUUGUCUGAACCGCAUGGUUCAGACAUAAAAGGUGGCUUCGGCUACCACUUACAGAUGGACCCGCGGCGCAUUAGCUAGUUGGUGAGGUAACGGCUCACCAAGGCAACGAUGCGUAGCCGACCUGAGAGGGUGAUCGGCCACACUGGGACUGAGACACGGCCCAGACUCCUACGGGAGGCAGCAGUAGGGAAUCUUCCGCAAUGGACGAAAGUCUGACGGAGCAACGCCGCGGGAGUGAUGAAGGUUUUCGGAUCGUAAAGCUCUGUUGUUAGGGAAGAACAAGUGCCGUUCAAAUAGGGCGGCACCUUGACGGUACCUAACCAGAAAGCCACGGCUAACUACGUG
rnacentral:rRNA from 1 species